rnacentral:rRNA from 1 species
AUACGGAGGGUGCAAGCGUUACUCGGAAUCACUGGGCGUAAAGCGCGCGCAGGCGGCUAUUUAAGUUGGAUGUGGAAGCCUACGGCUCAACCGUAGAACUGCAUCCAAAACUAUUUAGCUAGAGUGUGGGAGAGGAAGAUGGAAUUAGUUGUGUAGGGGUAAAAUCCGUAGAGAUAACUAGGAAUACCAAAAGCGAAGGCAAUCUUCUGGAACACUACUGACGCUGAGGCGCGAAAGCGUGGGGAGCAAACAGGAUUAGAAACCCUGUAGUCC